GGUAUAGCGUAGUUGGUUAACGCGUCAGAUUGUGGCUCUGAAGACCCAGGGUUCGAGUCCCUGUAUC
rnacentral:tRNA from 1 species